GCCGGGUGUGGUAGCACACACCUGUAAUCCCAGCUGCUCAGGAGGCUGCGGCAGGAGAACUGUGAGUUCAAAGCCAGCCUCAGCAACUUAGCAAGGCCCUAGGCAACACAGAGAGAUCCUGUCUCUA
rnacentral:sRNA from 1 species